rnacentral:rRNA from 1 species
UACGGAGGGUGCAAGCGUUGCUCGGAAUUAUUGGGCGUAAAGGGUGCGUAGGUGGCGAGGUUAGUCAGGUGUGAAAUCUCGGGGCUCAACCCCGAAACUGCACUUGAUACUGCCUUGCUAGAGUACUGGAGAGGAGAUUGGAAUUUACGGUGUAGCAGUGAAAUGCGUAGAUAUCGUAAGGAAGACCAGUGGCGAAGGCGAAUCUCUGGACAGUUACUGACACUGAGGCACGAAGGCCAGGGGAGCAAACGGG